rnacentral:rRNA from 1 species
GACGAACCGUCCAAACGUUAUUCGGAAUCACUGGGCUUACAGAGUUCGUAGGCGGUCCGGUAAGUUAGGUGUGAAAUCCCCGGGCUUAACCUGGGAACUGCAUUUGUGACUGCAUGGCUGGAGUGCGGCAGAGGGGGAUGGAAUUCCGCGUGUAGCAGGUGAAAUGCGUAGAUAUGCGGAGGAACACCGAUGGCGAAGGCAAUCCCCUGGGCCUGCACUGACGCUCAUGCACGAAAGCGUGGGGAGCAAACAGG